GUUAGUUAUUGAGUGCAAUUUCUCUUAAUAUUUUUAAUUGACCUUAAAUUUUGUAAUCAAAACCGUUAACCUAUAUUACAUUAAAUAUGUGCCUACGUUUGGUCUAAACCAUUGUAUAUACCAACUUCAAACCAUCAUUGAUGCAAAAAUUAUAUAUAAAACGUUUUCGACAUAUGUAUAAUACAUGGAAUCAUCUUAUAAAAAAUAUUUUAUAUAAAUCAUUUUAUACAUGGAAUCAUUUUUCAAUCUUAGGUUGAACAUACUUAUAAAACGGUUACAUAUGAUAUUAGGGAUAAUAAUUCAGCGAGAAACAUUUUCCUCUCAGUUCUGCUAGUAUGUUUUACCAGUUAGGUGAAACAAAAAAUUAAUUAUAUUUUAUUCAUUUACGUUAGUUACUGUUUAAAUAAGAUAACUUUUUUAUUCCGUCGUCGUUUUGAAAAAGGAAAUUUUCGUUGCCACUAACUUUUAUUUUUGUUUUAUUAACUUGUUUUCUUUACCAUUUUUUCACCAAUUUACUCUAUUACUUUUUCACUAAUUUACUCCAUUAUAAUUACUCCAGUUUAUACUCCAGUUUACACUAUUAUUUACCAGUCACUCCCAUAGAAUAAGAAAUUAUAUAUUUAAUUUAUUGUGUGGUUAGAGUAGUUAAUUAUAUGAUAAAAAAAGAAUAAAUAGUUAUAUGGAUGCAACAAUUUUUCUUAUAGUAGAUUUUUAGAAUGAUCAUCUUUUAAUACUAUAGAUAUAAUAAUUGUGUUUUUCUAUAAAGUUAAUUAUAGCUAUCACACGAAAAUGUCUUGUCACUCCCUAGUAAAGGAGUCAUACUAUUUUAGCGGUAGAUAAACUUAUGGCUUGUAUUUUUUUAUCCCUCCUUCGAUUUUUGUUGAUGAUUGUAUUCGCAUAAUUUUCUUUGCCUGAUAUUGACAAUACGUCGCUUUCCUAAGAAAAUUUGAUCAAGACAAAGUAUGUUCCUUAAGAAAUCAAUAUGGGAACUAGCAUUUUGUGUACAUUGGAGAUAAGCUUCAAGAGUAGUCAUUAACGCGUCUAGACCAUGUCCACUCGAAAACACACAAAACUGGUGAUUUUUGUAAAAUAUAAUUCAAAAUAUUAGGUACACGCUUGAAAAUGGCAUCUUCCGGUGAUGGCUAGUGACUACAAAUAAUUCUUUGUUUUAUUAAUAGAUGUUAUUAAUAAGAACUUAGUUACAGUCUUUCUUUGACCAAAAAAAAAGUUACAGUCUUUCUAGUAUUGGAUUUAAUUUGUGAUUAAACUUCACCUUAAAAGCGUGUUUUCAGAUGAGAAAAUAAAAUAAUUAAAUUUUAGUUAUUAAUGAACAACAUCUUUAAAUUUUUUUACUGAAUUAGGAUUAGGUUUAAUCAUUUUUUUUGUCAGCAAGGUUUAAUCAUAUUUUGUCCGGUUCUCUUGACUCUUGGGUAUAUAAUGGCCUGAGCUUCUGAGCCUGAUGAUAUUAAAAUGUGUUUUAAACCCCAUAUUCUAGAGUCUAUAAAUACCAAUCACUUUUCAAGUCCUGUAAGAUAAAAAUAAGAGAGAGAAAUGGCUAAGAUGCCAAGUUCAUCGAAGAUCUAUGUGGUUAUGCUUCUCUCAUUCUUGGCGCUUUUCAUAAUGGCCCAUGCUCAAACCUCUUCUCCAGAUGGGAAGUUCUUUCAAGAUUCCCCGGCCCAAGCCUACACCGGUCCUUCGUACGCUCCUGUUCCUCCGAGAUGCUUCAAUCCACCUGGCUGCGGUCCAACGGAUAAAAGGAAAAGAAGAUUUCGCCAUCAAAGUUCCAAUUUGGCCACAUGAAUCUUGAGAGUUAAAAGCUUGCUCGCUGAUGUUUGUGCCUGUGUUUGUGGUGCCUUCUCAUUUGGUUUAGGUUAUCUAUGUAUAAAUACAUAUAUGGAACGUUUAUGAGAUCUAUGUUAUAAUAUGGUGCGAUUUUACCCUGAGGUUGAGGGAAAUAAGAUUCGAAUUGUGCGAUUUCAAUUACUGGUAAGUUGGUAACCACUAUAGUUUGUUAUGUGAAAUGUAUAUUGUCAAAACAAAAAGUGUAUGUCGUCAAUUAUCAUAAUGAUAUUUCUGUUUACUGUUCA